CUAUAAAGUGAUUUCUCUAUUUUAUACUGUGGUAAUCCCCAUGGUUAACCCCCUUAUUUACAGCUUGAGGAAUAAGGAGGUGAAAGAUGCAUUCAGAAGAAAAAUUGAGAGGAAAAAAUUUAUUAUAGGUUGAAUCAGAGAAAUGGACUAUAGAAAUCAAACUUUGGUUACUGAAUUUUUUUCCGUGGGAUUAACAAAUCUCUUUCAGCACAAGAUUGCUCUCUUUCUGGUAUUUCUCUUUGUUUAUCUUGUCACUGUUCCGGGAAACUUGGGAAUGAUCACUCUUAUUUGGAUGGAUUCUCGACUCCAGACCCCCAUGUACUUUUCUCUCUGCCACUUGUCCUUUGUGGAUGUCUGCUCCUCUUCUGCCAUCGGUCCCAAGAUGUUGACUGAUAUCUUCGUGGAGAAAAAAGUCUGUGUGCAGCUGGUGGUGGGCCUUAUGCUGUGGGCCUUAUAAGCACCAUGACCCAUAUGACUUUCACCUUUCGCCUACUCUACUGUGGUCCAAACAUCAUCAAUCACUUCUUCUGUGACCUUCUCCCUGUCCUCUCCCUGGCAUAUGCAGAUACCCAUAUUAAUAAAUGUUUACUUUUUAUCUUGGUGGGUGCCCUGGGAGUACUCAGUGGUGUGAUCAUCUUGGUCUCCUACAUUUACAUUGUCAUUGCCAUCCUGAGAAUUCGCUCUGCUGACGCGAGACGCAAAGACUUCUCC
ensembl:lncRNA novel transcript